ACAGGUGCUGCAUGGCUGUCGUCAGCUCGUGUCGUGAGAUGUUGGGUUAAGUCCCGUAACGAGCGCAACCCUUGUCCUUAGUUACCAGCACGUUAUGGUGGGCACUCUAAGGAGACUGCCGGUGGACAAACCGGAGGAAGGUGGGGAGUGACGUCAAGUCAUCAUGGCCCUUACGGCCUGGGCUACACACGUGCUACAAUGGUCGGUACAAAGGGUUGCCAAGCCGCGAGGUGGAGCUAAUCCCAUAAAACCGAUCGUAGUCCGGAUCGCAGUCUGCAACUCGACUGCGUGAAGUCGGAAUCGCUAGUAAUCGUGAAUCAGAAUGUCAUGGUGAAUACGUUCCCGGGCCUU
rnacentral:rRNA from 1 species